UACAGAGGUCCCAAGCGUUGUUCGGAUUCACUGGGCGUAAGGGUGCGUAGGUGGUCGAGUAAGUCUGAUGUGAAAUCUUCGAGCUCAACCCGAAAAUGGCAUUGGAUACUAUUCGGCUGGAGGGUUGGAAGGGGGACUGGAAUUCUCGGUGUAGCAGUGAAAUGCGUAGAUAUCGAGAGGAACACCGGUGGCGAAGGCGAGUCCCUGGACAAUCCCUGACACUGAGGCACGAAAGCUAGGGGAGCAAACAGG
rnacentral:rRNA from 1 species